UCACUACAGCUGUAAGCCAGUGAGAGAGCGGAGAGCCUUUGGACUGGAGCUGAAUGUGCGCAUCAGUGAUCCAAGUGGUGUCAGUGGGACACCCUCCCACAUAUAACGCAGGCCUGGAAACCUUUUUGAGACUUGGAGGAAUGGACCUGCAGAACCUGGGGCGUUUCACAGCAUCUGACUGCAUCGUCACACAGAACAGAUGCUGGAAGAGCAAUGAAGGUGCAGCCAAGGCAGCGAGCCAUUUGAGAUCUUAGUCAUGACUCCUGGUCAGAGCAGAGAGACCACUUAAGAGACUACUGAGCAGAUGGAUUCCUACUGGACCACUUCUGCACUGUGUUAACAAGAAGAGGCUUUCACCAGUCUGGCUUGAGAGACGAAUCAGUCAGGGAAGAUGUUCAUCUCCAAAAACUACAUGCACAAAUCUGAUGACAGGGAGUCCGUGCAUGUGGCCUCAGUGGAGGGUCUGAUGCAGGAACUGGUUUGGAGGGGUUUGUUGUUAAGUUGGCUGAAUGGGUGUGGUUCAGUCAAGGUAAAACAGUCAGAAGGCUCAACAACAUAGGGUGGUCUUCAGAGGUGCCUUGUCCUGGUGGAUUUCAGGGGACUGUGCUCUAAAGAGAGUAGAAGAAGAGACAUAAAAAGGAACUGCUUGUUUCCCUGUUUUAAUGUACUGUAAUGUCAGUAAUGUGCUGACCACAUAUCUUAGAUUUCCAUUUAAAAUGUAGUUAUUAUUUCAUGUUUGUGUUUACGAAAUUUUCUUAAAAUAUUAUUUUGUUAAAUUUUCUUCUUAUAAAAUAAUUUAUUAUCAAAGAAUUUAUCACUAAUGCAGUUCACAUGGAAAAAAAUUGAAUGUGUUGCAUGGCUCUCUCUUGCAUGGUAUGCCUUAAUUUUGUGCUGCUGGUCCUGAAACUGUACAGUAAAAAGCACCAGUGGCUAGUGGACACUAGUGGACAGUGUUGGUCUGGAGCUCUGCUAUACUGCUGCCAAAUACAGGGCUAAUGCAUGUAGAAAACAUCAAAAACAGUAUGACUAAGCAUGUGCUACAAGUUGAUCUUUCCUUACUUCCUGUCUCAGCUGUGUCCCACUCUGUUUUAUCCUUUUUCUGCUAUGUGUGUGAUAAAUAUUUUAAACUGUGGAUAUCCCCCGCUACCCCCAGAGUUUACAACUAAUUAUAAACACCAGAACAGAUGGGAUGCAAUUCUUCUACGGAAUUUGCAGCUCGGCCAAAGUAAUGUGGCCACAUCUUGUUCCACUGUUGAUCUUGAGUUAGUUUGAUUAGUGGCUAAGUCUGAUAGUAAUCAACUUUAUUUUUUUCAUAUAAUUCUGAGAUAUAGAAUAUGUUUCAUUUCUAUUUCUCUGUAUCACUUUAUUGUAACAUGAAACCAGAACGAAGAAGCUAAGAGUGGAAUUUUUCUUUUCCCAGCAAUCUUAGAGGAAAAGCAAUACUUGUUUUCCAUGGUGAUUGAACUCAAUAAACGAACUUGAGAGUUAUUUCACAAACAAUACAUGUUCAGCCCAAACAGUGGUCUGAUUGAAGGUUUGACUUUUCAGUGAUAAGACUCAGUAAAAGUUCAACACAGUGCUUGCUCCUGUUGUUUUCUUCUCAGGUUUUAGAUUUGUCAAAUGUGCUUUUCUCAAUCCCAUUGCCGUCUCCUUUUCUUAUGUGCAUACAGCGUUUGUGUGUUUCACUAGUUAUGGCAGAACAGCAUAUAGUUGUGCAGCAGUGAUCAGCUUUUUGACAGAUGGCAUGUCCUCACUUCUAAACUGGCUGAUAUUGGCCGGUGGCUGCGACUGGACAGUCAUCGUAAACUUGCCAUAUGUUACAAUAUGCUGCACAGAUUGAGGCAAGGGCCAAAUGUGUUUAAGGGCAUAGAGGGGCAAGAUGAAACAUUCAUAAAGGGAUUGAGCAUAUGUUCAUAUCAUACCACCUUCAUUUUAUUUCAGGAACUCAAAAGAGCCUACUGGAGAGCCUGCUCUGCCAUAGACAACCAGUUGUUUUUCU